CACACACACACACAGAGUUUUGCUGGGAGAUGAAAGAGAUGAGAAAUAAAAGGACUUAGAGAAGUGGAAAAAGAAAAAAAGGACUGAAGGAGGAAUUUUGUUUCCAAACUGCCUGCAGGUCUAAAAUGGAGCCAGCAUGAGAAAACAGGAUUGGAGAAGAGACGUGCUCAAUUCAAAGGCAGAACCAGGACUGGACCUCAGGAGCUCUCAAGUAAAAGGUUGCCUCCCUGAGAAGAGGGGCCUCAAUCAAAUCACCUUCCUCUUCCGAGUCUCCUAUUCUGCGAUUCUUCGUUAGUGCGUCGCCCCCCUCCCUUCAAGGUUUCCCGUCUAAUCACCUGUGUAUGCAUCUCAGUGUAUAUUGUUUUAAGUUGAACUGUCAAUGAGGGGCCGAAAAUAGGUCCAGUUGCAAAGUGGCUGGGCCACAGACCAUCGAUGAUUAAGGAAAUCUAAGAGAUUGCCCAAGCCAAUCGUUUUAAAAAUCAUUUUUAGUGCGAAAUACAUUACACAUACAGAAGUAUAUAAAACAAUUUCAUCUUAAACAAUAAUAACAAUAAAGCAAAUACCUGUGCAACUAACACCCAGCUUAAGAAAUAGAACGUUACGAGCACCAGAGAUAUGUCGCAACCAUUGCAUUGCCUUCCUCGCCCGGGAAAUAACCACGACCCUGACUUUUGUUACAGUAAUUCCCUUGCUUUUCUACAUACUUUUGCGAUUCAUGAUUGCAUCUCUAAACAAGGUAUUGUUUAACUUUUUCCUGUUAUUGAUGUUAUAUAAACAUAAUUAAUACUAUAUGUAUUCUUCUGUGACUUGCUUCUCUCACUCUUCUGCUGUAGGAUUCUCCCAACUUUGAUGUUGUGUAACAGGAAGUUUUUUCCAUUGUUAGACAGUGGAAUAUGUCCAACAUAACAUAUGAAUAUACAUUGAUUUAUUUAUGCUUUUUACUAUUGAUGGUUACUUGUAUUCUUUCCAUUUUUAGCUAUUGUCAACAAUGUUGUUAUGGACAUGUACAUGUCCACUAGUGCAUGUAUGCUAGAGUAGGAGUGAUUGACUGGGUGUUAAGUUUUGCACAUGUGGGACUUUAAUAGGUAAUGCCACACCAUUUUCCAAAGUAGUUCUACCAAGUAAUGUCUCUGCGGGGAAUGUGUAAGAGUUCUUAUUUUUCCACAUCCUCACCAACAUUUGGCAUUGGUAUUGAAUGUUGAAUUUUUGUGUAUUUGGACUUGUGUAGUCUAGGUAUCUCAUUGUGGUUUUAUUUUGCAUCUCAUUACUUUUGAGGUUGAGCACCUUUUCAUGGUUUUAUGAGUCUUUCAAAUUUCUCUUUAUGAACUGCUUAGUAGUUCUCUUACCCAUUUUUCUACUGGAUUCUCUCCAUCCCUCUCCCUCUCUCCUGAUGUAUAUUAGUUCUUCAUAUAUUCUAGAUACUAAUUCUUUGUCUAUUAUAUGUUGCAUAUAUCUUCCUAGUUUGUGCUUGGUCUUUUAAUUUUCCAUAUAAUGUGUCACAAACAGAACAUAAAUUAAGUCACGGGUUAUGAGUAUUCUUAGUUUGACCAAAUAAUUCUAAGUUGCUGUCCUCAAUGCCACACCAGUCUACACAUCUACAACCAAUGCCUGAGUGUAACUAUGCCCUCACAUUCUUCCCAACCUUGGCAUUAUCAAGCUUUCUUGUUUCCCCUAGUGUAACAGAUGUAAAGUACCAUCUCAUUGUUGAAUUUCUCAGAUUACUGAUGCAUCUGAGCAUAUCUUUACAUGUUUAUAAGAUUUUUGCUUUCUUUACGAUCAAUCGUCUGCUCAGAUUCUUUGCCCAUUUUUCUGCUGGAGUUUUUGUCUUUCUUACAAGAACUCUUCUGUACUCUAGUUAUGUAUACCUUGUCAGUUUCAGACAUGCAAAUAUCUUCUCCCUUUUUCAUCUGUUCAUAAACUUUAUCCAGGGUAUACUUCAGUUAAUAGAAAUACCUAAAUCAAUCAAUCAUUUUUGCCUUACAUUUUGUGUUUGUUUCUGACAUUUUAAGAAGUCUUCCUUAUUCCUAGGUGACAGAAAUAUGUCCUAUAUCUUCUUCUAUCCACUUCAUAGUUUUACUUUUCACAUUUUGAUGUUUAAUCCAUCAGGCCUCAAUUCUUGUACAUGGUGUUAGGAAUCCAGGAUCCAGGUUUUAUUUUGUUUUGUUUUUUCUGCUAGAGAGUAAGCUAGAUUUCCUAACAAUACCAACAAAACAUUCUAUACUUCCUCUCAUUUAUUUGUGGCAGCACCUGUAUCAUAUAUUAACUACGUAAAAUUCUGUCUUAAAGCUUCCUAUUCUGUCCCUGUGUUCUAUUUGUCUUUCUUGUAACAAUAUCACACUGCUUUAUUACUGGACUUAAUAUCCAUUCGGCAAGUUUCUCUCUCUCUCUCUCUCUCUCUCUCUCUCUCUCUCUCUCUCUCGCUUUUUCUCUCUCGAUUGUUUAGUUAUUUGUGAUCCUUUAUUGCUUCUUUUUAUUUUAGAGUAAGUUUAUUAAGUUUCUCAAGCAGCCCAACUGGAAUUUUUAUCGUUAUACAUUAAAUUUAUAGAAUAAUUCAGGGAAUUGACAUCUUUGUAAUAUUGCAUCAUCCCAUCUAAGAACAUAAAAUGUUUCUCUAUCACUUUGUCUUCUAUGUUCUUUACUAGAGUUUUCAAGUUUUCUGUAUAAAUGUCCUACUUAAUUCCUAGGUGUUUAAUUAUAGUUUUUUUCUUUCUACUAUUGAGAACAGUUUCUUAUUUUUCAUUAUAUUUGCUAGUUAUUGCAACUGUAGAGAAAAUUUUAUUUUUAUAAUUUAUCUGUCAAACCUAUUAAACUCUUACUGUUCGGAA